AAUAGAUACCCUGGUAGUCUUGGCCCUAAACGAUGUUCACUAGGUGUCGGGGAUUUUUCUUCGGUGCCGCAGCUAACGCAUUAAGUGAACCGCCUGGGGACUACGACCGCAAGGUUGAAACUCAAAGGAAUUGGCGGGGGCCCGCACAAGCGGUGGAGCAUGUGGCUUAAUUCGAUGCAACGCGAAGAACCUUACCAGGGUUUGACAUGUAACUGCAAGCUCCCGAAAUGGAGUCGCUUUCGAAGGUGUUACACAGGUGGUGCAUGGCUGUCGUCAGCUCGUGUUGUGAAAUGUUGGGUUAAGUCCCGCAACGAGCGCAACCCUCAUGUUCUGUUGCCAGCGAGUAAUGUCGGGAACUCGGAACAAACUGCCUCUGUAAAGAGGAGGAAGGUGGGGAUGACGUCAAGUCUUCAUGCCCCUUACACCCUGGGCUGCACACAUGCUACAAUGGCCGGUACAAAGAGCAGCGAUACCGCGAGGUGGAGCAAAUCUCAAAAAGCCGGUCUCAGUUCGGAUUGGAGUCUGC
rnacentral:rRNA from 1 species